CUUCUACAUAAACUCAUUGAGCACCCCGUAAAGAGAAAGAAAAAUGACAUCUCUAUAGAGGUCGCUUCUCUCAAUUUUUCUGAAUAUGCGACAAUUAUUAAUAGAUUUCAACUGCUAAUUACUAUUAAUCUGAUUCAUUUUCUUUGAUAAAAAUUAUUUCAUUGUAAUCAGUGGUGCCUUAGUAACCUGUCAAUAUGCAAUUAACCCUUGUACAUUCAGUUUUAACCAGUGUUUUAAGGGAUGAUGCAAUCUCUUGGUAAAGUUACAGCUUUUUGUAUUGAGAUUGUAUUGACCUUAAAAAAAGUGAUUUUGGUUUACCUUUAAAGAGAAGAAGAAAAGGAGUGGAAAAAAUGUAGUGAAGAUUGAAUGAAUAAAGAAAAGUUGAACAGAAAAAUAGUCUCUCAAUGUUAUUAUCAUGACGGAGGUAAAGAGAGAGAGAAAGAAAGACAAGAAAAGAAAGACAAUGGAAGAAAGAGAAGAAAGAGAGAAAGAAGGUGAAAGCGGGAAGUGUGGGAAAAAAGGCCCAGCCAGGGGAAUGCGGAAUGAUAACGUUAUUAUUAUAGUUAGUUUUGAGGCUAUAAUGAGUGACUGGUUAUACCAAUACUAACGAUACAGAUAUUGAAAGCUUUUUUGGAGGUCCCACUAAAAAAACAAAAUAAAACCAAAUGACCACGUAAUGAACUAAUAACAUUGAUUAAUAGCGAUAAUAAAUUAACACUUGUCAGUUUUUAUGUAACUAAAAGACCAUAAAGUCCCAACUUAAAACUCAAAGGAAAAAUUUUUUUGUCCUUAGUCCAUUACAUUGUUUUGGUACAUUUUGGUGACCCUUUUCUAGGAGCUGAUCUUUUCUUCUUUGGAUGGAUUUACUCUAUUAUAAUACCUUUUCAAGACCAUUUAUAGCAACUUGCUAGGUUAUCAUCACUGUUAUGUUAAUCAACCAUGGAAAAUAGAAAGUUAUCAACUAUCAGAGGUUCAACGGCUUAUCAUGUUGUCACCAUUGAAGCAAUUAUGUCAACUUUAUCUCAUUAUUAAAUAGAUAUUGUUGAUAUUCACAUGAAUGAUGGAUGUUAAGGGCAUACUGUUGUUCAACAAAUAUUAUGCAUUGUGACGUCUAUUAAACUGGUUUGAUGCGGACCAAUAAUUGUUUAGUCAUACUAAUGAUUCACUUGGCUUCCAAAUUCAUUGGAAUUGGUAUGAAUGGAGUCCUGGUAUACUUAUCAAUGGUUUGCCGGUCUUAAUCAUCUAUACAAUUAUUAAUUAAAAUGUAAACGUGGAUUUGAUUCCUUCUAGGCUUGCGUCAAAUGGUGUUAUUUCAAGUGAAAGAGGCAAUAAUUCAAGAACAACAUGAACAUCUUUAUUAGGAAUAUUCAAGAACAAAGUUUAACUUUUAGAGGAAAGGAAAGAGAAUCAAGAUGUCGAAUCUUAAAAACCGGAUUAUCAAAUUUGCACUCAAAAAUGUUAGUCAAGUGGCUGACUCUAACCAACUUUACUUUGAUGUUAACAAUUUUUUCAUGUUUAGCAAAGAAGGCUGAUUUAAACCUGAGACUGCAAUCUACACGAGGGUGACAUGAAACAAUGAAAAUUAUCUGAUUCCAUCAAUUGCUUUGAGUUAUAAUAAUCAUUUCUGCACCUUUAUUAAUGCAUAACACCUGAAUUAACAUAAAUGUUUGACAAGAUGCACUCAACUCAUUUUUGGCUCUGAAUUAAAGCUCUAAUGUCUCACAAGAGCCUUCAUCUUCUUCAUUAUAAUUAUCCAAAAAAUUAUUUUUAUUCGGUGCAUAUGAACUAAAAAUUAAAUUUUGCACUAAUUUUUGAUUGCUGUAUAUUAUCCCUUUUAUUGGGGUAGUUAAUUGAUUACAAUUAUUGUUUGGCCUGGAGGAUUAUUAAUUAUUGUAAAAGUAAUGCUAACAUGAGCUUUCAAUUCAUUUGUCAUUUGCUUGUGUUUAAAAUCUUUCAAGCAGACUGGUGAAUCAAAAAUGUUCAUAAGGAUUGUAUGAAAAGGACCGACUUUUUGUCACCACAUCUACCACUUAAGUAUUUUUCAAAGGCUUUUUUCACCAAAUUGUCCACCAAAUCGUUCACUGCUUUUCUGAUAUGAUAUGUAUGAUGUGGAUGAAUGCUGGGUGUGUUAGAUUUGGAUGGUGGACAGUAUGGUGAAUAAAACUGGUCUCUAUUGUUGUAUCGGACUUCAAGAAUGGAAGGGAAAAAAUAUUUAAAUUUCUGAUUCUUCUUGGUUAUGUUAUUAGAAUAAGUCAUUCGUGGAUCUUAAGAACUAUUCAUUAACCAAAAUCUUAAUCGCAAUUUAAAUCUAAUGCACUUCAAUAAUUACCAUUGAAAAUGAAGAGAAAAAUUUUCAAUUUUGCUUUCAAAUAUUAAUUCACUUCUCAAUGGAAAAUGAGUCACUAGAUGACGCCUCUAUUGCUCUUUGAUUUGGACCAAGUUACAAUUUACAGUUACAAUUAUCGGCCUUAAAAGCCGCCUUGCUCCAAACGUUUGAUCCUUUUGCGGUUUUUGAAAUGAAAACCUGAUUAAAACAGUUUAAAAGCGCUCAUCUUGUUGCAAUAUUUAAUCGAUGUUUGUUCAGUUUACAAUCAAAGACCCUGUCGAGUGCAUAUUUUGAAGUGUUUGUCAAUUCAAGUUUGUGAUUCAUGUUUUGAUCAAUCUAAUUAAGCGAAAUGAAAUCUUAAAAAUUCUGACUUAAUUCUGGCUUAUUGUUCCGCAUUAUUGCUUCCUGUUUCGAUAAUCACUCAAUAAAUGAACAAUUUGGUUUGAAACAAAACUAUCUUAUUUCAUACGAUUAGCCUUUGCAGACAAAAUUCAAUUGGAUUCCUGAAGAAAAUUAGUUUCGAUCAACAGGUUUUCCAAUUACAGGCUAUGAGUUUGUUGGUUCUUUUACGAUAAUUCUGGUAGAUAACUCGUGAUCUCAUCUCUUGAGAGAUAAUUAUACCAUAUUUAUCAUCUGAUAUUAUUGGAGUCAACAAAGGUCUUUGACAUAAUGCAAUAAAAAUUGUCUUCAAUUGAA